CCUACGGGCGGCAGCAGUGAGGAAUAUUGGUCAAUGGACGAGAGUCUGAACCAGCCAAGUAGCGUGAAGGAUGACUGCCCUAUGGGUUGUAAACUUCUUUUAUAUGGGAAUAAAAUGUUCCACGUGUGGGAGUUUGUAUGUACCAUAUGAAUAAGGAUCGGCUAACUCCGUGCCAGCAGCCGCGGUAAUACGGAGGAUCCGAGCGUUAUCCGGAUUUAUUGGGUUUAAAGGGAGCGUAGGUGGAUUGUUAAGUCAGUUGUGAAAGUUUGCGGCUCAACCGUAAAAUUGCAGUUGAAACUGGCAGUCUUGAGUACAGUAGAGGUAGGCGGAAUUCGUGGUGUAGCGGUGAAAUGCGUAGAUAUCACGAAGAACUCCGAUUGCGAAGGCAGCUCACUGGACUGCAACUGACACUGAGGCUCGAAAGUGUGGGUAUCAAACAGGAUUAGAUACCCGAGUAGUC
rnacentral:rRNA from 1 species